rnacentral:rRNA from 1 species
GCCAGCAGCCAUAUCACCUUGCAGCUCACAGCUAAAAACCCACUGAAGCUCAGCUGGUGUGAGCCUGGUCAGUACCUGGAUGGGAGACCUCCUGUGAAAAACUAAGGUUGCUGCUGGAA